rnacentral:rRNA from 1 species
GACGAACGCUGGCGGCGUGCUUAACACAUGCAAGUCGAACGGAAAGGCCUUUUCGGAGGUACUCGAGUGGCGAACGGGUGAGUAACACGUGGGUGAUCUGCCCUGCACUCUGGGAUAAGCCUGGGAAACUGGGUCUAAUACCGGAUAGGACCGCACUUUAGUGUGUGUGGUGGAAAGUUUUUUCGGUGUAGGAUGAGCCCGCGGCCUAUCAGCUUAUUGGUGGGGUAAUGGCCUACCAAGGCGGCGACGGGUAGCCGGACUGAGAGGUUGGUCGGCCACAUUGGGACUGAGAUACGGCCCAGACUCCUACGGGAGGCAGCAGUGGGGAAUAUUGCACAAUGGGCGCAAGCCUGAUGCAGCGACGCCGCGUGGGGGAUGACGGCCUUCGGGUUGUAAACUCCUUUCGCCAGGGACGAAGCGUUUUGUGACGGUACCUGGAGAAGAAGCACCGGCUAACUACGUG